UACGUAGGGGGCAAGCGUUGUCCGGAAUGAUUGGGCGUAAAGGGCGCGUAGGCGGCCCGGUAAGUCUGAAGUGAAAGUCCUGGUUUUAAGUUGGGAAUUGCUUUGGAUACUGUCGGGCUUGAGUGCAGGAGAGGUAAGUGGAAUUCCCAGUGUAGCGGUGAAAUGCGUAGAGAUUGGGAGGAAUACCAGUGGCGAAGGCGACUUACUGGACUGUAACUGACGUUGAGGCUCGAAAGCGUGGGGAGCAAAC
rnacentral:rRNA from 1 species